rnacentral:rRNA from 1 species
CAGUCGCCACGGGAAAACGUAGGGUGCGAGCGUUAAUCGGAAUUACUGGGCGUAAAGCGGGCGCAGACGGUUACUUAAGCAGGAUGUGAAAUCCCCGGGCUCAACCUGGGAACUGCGUUCUGAACUGGGUAACUAGAGUGUGUCAGAGGGAGGUAGAAUUCCACGUGUAGCAGUGAAAUGCGUAGAGAUGUGGAGGAAUACCGAUGGCGAAGGCAGCCUCCUGGGAUAACACUGACGUUCAUGCCCGAAAGCGUGGGUAGCAAACAGGAUUAGAUACCCGUGUAGUCCCUGUCUCUUAUAC